AAAAUGGUGAGAGGGAUGAGGGGAGUUCUGAGCAGGGCGGAGAGCACGGCUCGGGGUCUGAUUCACA
rnacentral:pre_miRNA from 14 species